rnacentral:rRNA from 1 species
UACGUAGAGGGCGAGCGUUGUCCGGAGUUACUGGGCGUAAAGCGCACGCAGGCGGUCUGUUAAGUUUGGAGUGGCAGUUGGUGGCUCAACCACCAAAGUGCUUUGAAAACUGAUAGACUUGAGGGCUUCAGAGGGACACGGAAUUCCGGGUGGAGUGGUGAAAUGCGUAGAGAUCCGGAGGAACACCAAAGGCGAAGGCAGUGUCCUGGGGAGUACCUGACGCUCAGGUGCGAAAGCCAGGGGAGCGAACGGG